UACGAAGGGGGCUAGCGUUGUUCGGAAUUACUGGGCGUAAAGCGCACGUAGGCGGAUCGAUCAGUCAGGGGUGAAAUCCCAGGGCUCAACCCUGGAACUGCCUUUGAUACUGUCGAUCUGGAGUAUGGAAGAGGUGAGUGGAAUUCCGAGUGUAGAGGUGAAAUUCGUAGAUAUCAGGAGGAACACCGGUGGCGAAAGCGGCUCACUGGCCCGAUACUGACGCUCAUGUACGAAAGCGUGGGGAGCAAACAGG
rnacentral:rRNA from 1 species